rnacentral:misc_RNA from 1 species
AAGUCGUAACAAGGUUUCCGUAGGUGAACCUGCGGAAGGAUCAUUAACGAAUUUCUCGAGGUUGCUUUUGCGUGGUGCGGUCUUCUGCAUAGCGUCGACAGUGGCUCUCGAGUCCUUCACACAUCCCAUGUGCACUUUAAGAGGGUGACUGUUCCGUCUUGAGCGCUCUCUCGUGCUCGACAGAAUGCGUUGCCUUCUCUUUCACAAAAUCAAAAGUCUAGAAUGUUUGAUAUUAUUAAAUAAAAUAACUUUCAACAACGGAUCUCUUGGCUCUC